UAAUAUCUUAGAACAGUGGCGGCGUGACAAGGGUUUUAUGAAACCCGGGUCUCAUGGCGAUUUAGGUGGGUGGGUAGAUGUCGUGGUCAUGUUUAUUACUUUUCUAUGGUGUGUGUACCUAUUAUUAUAAAUGUACUCGACACUCGUAAACUCUUUUGAGGGUGGGUGAUCCCUAAAAACGUUUUUAUCUCAUGAAUGAAAAAUGUUCACGCCACCACUGGUGACCUAGAAACCCAGUCGUGUUUUUAACGUUGUACCCUUCAUUUGUGAUAUUUAUUCCUUUUGAUUACUUUUAUUUUAAUUUUUUUUAUAUUAACUAAAUAAUUAUGUGUCGUAUAAUUCUCGAAGACGACAUCUCACGUAACGAACGAAUUUUGCAAAAUGCGUAAGUGUUAGUAAUUUUAAAUUAUUUUGAUAUAUAUUUAUAUAUAUAUAUUUUUUUAUUCAGUGAGAUAAUUGAGCCGCCGGUCGUUCGGUCAGCUAACCCUGACACUAUAAUUUAUUUAAGACGGUUGCAUCAAGAAUAUUCACUUAUAAAUAAUUCAGGUGAGAAGAUAAGGAUAUGGUCAGCACAUGCGAGAUCGGUUUCUGUACGGUGCAAUGUAGAAAUGAGAGUUUUGUGUAUGUUGAUGCGUGAAAGUCAUUAUGAUCGAUCGAUUCCUGAAGAUGAGGUUAUAAUUCAACUAUCGUUUCGUGAGUUAUUACACUCAUCUAGAACAAUCAGGAGGCAUACCCAGUACUAUAUCAUUAUGCAGUUACUAUAUGGACUCAGGCGAAUUGCGAUUUUCGAUUCCGAACGCAUUAGGGAAAAAUUAGAAAUGGAUUGGACGUUAAAUGUCCUAACCAUUCUUACCUACUUAGAUUUCGACUUCGACACUUCUCGUUUUAUACUACAUAGAAUAAGAAACCUGAACUAAAAAUGAACUUAUAAAUAAUAUAUUCCUUAUUACCAUACAUCAGUUUAUAUUAUUUCAGAAAAACCAUAUGCUCACUAUCCUUACUAACAUAAUAUCUAUUUUCACCUAGCAUUGUGUUUCUCUAAAUAGUUGAAAAAAAAAAUAGUUGAAAAAAAAAAAACUACCUACUUCAACAAACAAUAUGUUUGACAUCAACGGACGGUCGGUACCUUACCCAUGUGGCUGCUCGAUCAGUGUGUAUCCAGUCUUUUGUCCGGUGUACACACAUUUUGCGUUUACAGUUUUUCUCAACAGAUAUUCAGAUACGGAUUUAUCUACUUAUAUGAGAUUUUUAUUUAUCAUAGUAGGUAUUUAUAAUUUUUAUAUUUCGUUUGUGAUAAUCAUUACCGGUAAAAAUUUAAGUAUUUUGUUUUAUAUUAUUCGUAAGAUAUUUUAAGAAUUACAUAUAAUCCGAUUUUUAGAUGUCAAAUAAUUCAUCACCGAGUUCUCCGGUAUAUGGAGGAGAUGAGUAUAAUUGACGUCUGGCUGAAAUACAUAGCCAGUCUCCAGUUCUCAUCAACAUGCAUGAGCAUGACUUUUUCGUAUAUGGUGAAAUGACUCAAUCCGGAGAUAGUGGUUACUCGACUAACCAGAGCACGCAAGUUGAAAAUAAUGAUUGGCAUAGGGCAUUUUCGACUAUUCAUCCCCCUGCAACACCAUCACCACCUUGACUAUCACAGAUGGAGAAUUGUUAACGUUCUUUGACACCGGUUUAGCCUGUCUUGUUGGAAGAAGCUUCGCCAGACAUGUUUCCGCCGACAACAUCGAUAGCAUACGUACUGAGGGUGAGAAACGACCUUUUUCCAGACUUAGAUUCCCAGUCCUCAGUUUCACAUAGCACGGUAGAAAUUCCUCGGUUCAUGUUAGCCCCCGAAUAUAACAUGCUAUUUGAAGGGGAAAUUAUGAAUACGUUACGUCAUUCUGGAGAGCAGACAGCAGAAAUGGAUUGGAGUGAAGAUGGAAAUGACGAGGAGUUGAUCAGUCAUAUGGAGGCAUAUGAAGAUGAUGAAGAACUUAACCGACACAUGGAUGAAUAUGAAGGUUUUUGAGGGGGGGUGUAAUAAUUAUAUUAUUUAUUAUUAAAAUAUAUAUAUUUUUAAAUUUUAAAACCAUGCAUUCAAUAAUAUAUAUUUUCAAACUAUAUUAAUAUUUUUAAAUAUUUUGUUAGAUGGUUAUGUUAGUGGUAAUUUUAAAUGUAGCAUAUGGUCGCUUUUCUUGGUAUAUCAGUAACUAUUUUUGUAAAGGUGGCCUAAAGGGGUAUCUAUUGUAAGCAACACGAUUUUCAAAUAUUUUGUAAGAUGGUUAUGUUAGCGGCAAUUUUAAAAGUAGCAUAUAGGUCAUAUUUUUGUAAGGCUUCAUCGAGUAAGGGAUAUGUAUAGAAAUAUACACCAUUGUGUUAGACACGUAUUGAUAGUAAACGUUCUAUUGUUCUAUUGUCAG
rnacentral:misc_RNA from 1 species